GAGGCMGAAGGGCUGUCGCUGACUUUUUUGUCGUGCACGCCCGAGUGCUCUCAAACAAUCCAUCUCACCCUAUGUGCACCACCGCGUGGGUCCCCCUUUUGGCUCGUUCCGAGGGGGGCUUGCGUUUUCACACAAACUUAAAUACAGUGUAGAAUGUCUUUUGCGAUAACACGCAAUUAAUACAACUUUCAACAACGGAUCUCUUGGCUCUCGCAUCGAUGAAGAACGCAGCGAAAUGCGAUACGUAAUGUGAAUUGCAGAAUUCAGUGAAUCAUCGAAUCUUUGAACGCACCUUGCGCCCCUUGGCAUUCCGAGGGGCACACCCGUUUGAGUGUCGUGAAAUUCUCAAAAGCCUUUCUUUUGAAAGGAUUUUGGACAUGGAGGCUUUUGCUGGCUUCACCUCGAAGCCAGCUCCUCUUAAACGAAUUAGUGGGGUCUGCUUUGCCGAUCCUCGACGUGAUAAGAUGUUUCUACGUCUGGGGUUCGGUGAUGUCUUUUGGGCACCUGCUUCUAAUCGUCUCAUCGACAAUGAUGGCGUUCCGGUCACCGCCGUUUCAUCGGUCGGUCGGCUUGACCCACCAAAAAAACUUUGACCUCAAAUCGGGUGAGACUACCCGCUGAACUUAAGCAUAUCAAUAAGCGGAGGAAAAGAAACUAACAAGGAUUCCCCUAGUAACUGCGAGUGAAGCGGGAAAAGCUCAAAUUUAAAAUCUGGUGGCCUUUGGCCAUCCGAGUUGUAAUUUAGAGAAGCGUCUUCCGCGCUGGACCGUGUACAAGUCACCAG
rnacentral:rRNA from 2 species